rnacentral:rRNA from 1 species
CCUACGGGUGGCAGCAGUAGGGAAUAUUGCUCAAUGGGGGAAACCCUGAAGCAGCAACGCCGCGUGGAGGAUGAAGGUUUUCGGAUGGUAAACUCCUUUGGUUAGAGAGGAUAAUGACGGUAUCUAACGAUUAAGCACCGGCUAACGCCGUGCCAGCAGCCGCGGUAAUACGGAGGAUGCAAGCGUUAUCCGGAUUUAUUGGGUUUAAAGGGUGCGUAGGCGGUCCGUUAAGUCAGCGGUAAAAUUGCGGGGCUCAACCCCGUCGAGCCGUUGAAACUGGCAGACUUGAGUUGGCGAGAAGUACGCGGAAUGCGCGGUGUAGCGGUGAAAUGCAUAGAUAUCGCGCAGAACUCCGAUUGCGAAGGCAGCGUACCGGCGCCAGACUGACGCUGAGGCACGAAAGCGUGGGGAUCGAACAGGAUUAGAUACCCCUGUAGUC